CCGAAGUGCUGGGAUGACAGGCGUGAGCCACCGCGCGCGGCCGGAAAGGGAGGAUUCGAACAGCCUGGCGGAGAGAAUUGUCUCCCGCAGUCUCCACUCCCCACCCCCAUGGCUUGCGACGGGUCGCGUAUUUGAUUACGCAAAGUAAGUUGGGAAAUCCUAUGUCCGCAAUCCCAUCUGGGAUUAUUUAUUUCGCCGCGUCCGCAGCCGGUGGAAGUCGUGAGACGGUGCAACGCUGAGCGGCUUUCCGCAGAAGGAGGUGCCUUCGAGGCCGGCUCUGGAGGAGCCACAGCCAAGCCGGCCACAGCAAAGCACUUCUCUCGGGAUGCUCAGACGUUUUCAAAUGCCGGUCGCCACCCUGGGCGCUGGCGGCAGUCUCCAGGGUCUCACUCCUGUCGCCUAAGGCUAGAGUGUAGUGCCGCGAUCUCGGCGCACCUGCGGCCUCGACUUCUCAGGCUCAAGCGAUCCUCCCACCUCAGCCUCCUGAAUAGCUGGGACUACAGGCGCAUUCCACCACGCCCGGCUAUUUUUUUUGUAUUUUUAGUAGAGACGGGGCUUCGUCCUGUUGUCGAGGUCCUCAGUCACGGCCUGACCCCUUUUAAGAGAGGGACCUCAAGAGGGGAGCUGAAUUCCUUGAGCCCUCGCCUUUCAAUCAAGUUUUCAAGGCACGCUUUGGCCGGGCCCUCCCGGACUGGCUGUGCUGCUACCUCCAGAGGAAAUCAACGUCUGUACCGAACUCCUAACCUGUGAAGACCUGCUGUCCUCAUAAUUGCGGAGUGGGGCCAAGGAAGGCUACUCUUUCCCCUUUGCAGAUGAGGCAACUGAGGCAACUGAGCCGCAGAAAACUAACUGACCAAGAUCACCCAGCCAGUGGAACAAACAGCUCGAGCCCAGGCUCUCUGGCUCCUAUUCCCUCUGAAUAUUUAAUUUACUAAACUGUUUGAGCAGCCGUAGAUUCCCUUCACAAUCCGGUAAAAUCUAUAAUUACUCCUCCCCUUCCCCAAAAUGUACUUAUUUUCCCAUUCAAUAUCGGAGCUUCUCGGACUUCCUGAAGUUAGUCCCAGGAUAAAGAUCCUCUUUCUCCUCCCCCUUGCCCCGCCCCACGACCUCGCUUCCCAGUAAUUGCUGGGAUCCCGAUUCUCUGGAGGCAUUCCGGGCGGAUUGAUUGAGUGUAAUUCAACUGAGUUAUGAUUACAGCUGCUGGUUCCCCUGUGCCGCAGACGGGUGUGUAGGGAGGGUGGGGCACGUGGAGAUGGGCAAGAUGUCUGGAGAGAGCAGUGGGGCUGUUGUGCACGUUUUUGCUAGAGGUGAGGGUUGAGAGCUAGGGAGGAAACAAUUCCGAGCCCACCCCGCUGGGACCCACGGGCUGAGGUCCUCCAGGAAGCACUGGGGCUCAGCUUUCCCUAUGUCAGUACGGAUGGAGGACACACAGGAGGAAGGCUGGUGGCUCUGCCGGAACAUUCUGAGGGCCUUGUUCUCUGCCUACGCUGGGACCUGCAGUCCCAUCUCCCAUUUGGCCUCAGCCAGCGUGGUUUAUUGUACCCAAAUCCCGCUUGUUUCCUCCUUAUGCAGCAGUUUUAAAAUUUCGAACUAGUUCAAGAGCUGCUCGGCUGCUCGUUUACUUUCAGUUUUGGGAACAGAGGCUUACACCCCUUUCUCCUCCUGUUUCUCCUCCAGUCCCUCUUCCCCUCAAUCUAGUUUCCCAAAGUUAGCAAACCUACUUUCUUGAUUUUGUUUCUUAACAUUUAAAACAACUGGUGAAGGGCUAAUGAUUUCAUCUCCUUACCACCACCCCUAACCUUAAAAGCAAUAAAUAAAAUAAAAGCCCAGCCUGCCAACCGCAUGCACACACGGCCAGCGGUGGUGGGGGUUUGUAGUUUGCAUACACGUCGCGGGGCAGAAGCCUGUUUGCAAAGGCUGAAAUGUAGCUAGCAGGGGAAGACGCUGAAAAAACAGAGUGAUUUGAUAAAAACGUGCUGGGCCCUGUUACAGGAGGGCUGCUGGGAGUAGUCCCAGGUACUCACAUCAGAAGGGGUGCAGGGGAAUAAAAUUUAAAAAAGCAAACCCAUGGCGAGUCUUUCUUGCUGGGAGUGAGGGGCUCUGCAAAAUUUCUGGGACUUCAGAACAGAGGUCGACAAGGUCCAUUGCUCUUCCC
rnacentral:lncRNA from 1 species